AUGGCUGGGCGUGGACUUUUAGCUGCAGGUUUGGUCCUCCUCGCCGCCGUCGCCCCGGCCUACGCCGCGGACUACACCGUCGGCGACUCGUCGGGCUGGGCUAGCGGCGUGGACUACAGCACCUGGGCAAGCGACAAAACCUUCACCGUCGGUGACACACUCGUGUUCCAGUACGGCGCGUCGCACAACGUGGCGGAGGUGGGGUCGUCGGACUACAGCGCCUGCUCUGCCACCAACUCCAUCCAGUCGUUCAGCGACCAGGACACCAAGAUCACGCUCACCAAGCCCGGCACGCGCUACUUCAUCUGCGGCGUCAGCGGCCACUGCUCCGGCGGCAUGAAGCUCGCCGUCAAGGUCGCCCCCGCGGCCACCACCACGCCCACCCCGUCCACCUCGCCAGACACGCCUUCGGAGACGCCCUCCACGCCUUCGGAGACGCCCUCCACGUCCACGACCCCGGCCGGGGCGACAACGGCGCCUUCCUCCUCCAAAUCAGCGGACAGCGUCGGCGGGGCCAGCGGCGUCGAGGCCCGCUCCGUGAUGGGCUCUCUGGUUGGAGCUGCAGGCCUUGUCGGCCUCGCCCUGAUGGGCUAG
rnacentral:rRNA from 1 species